rnacentral:rRNA from 1 species
GACGAACGCUGGCGGCGUGCUUAACACAUGCAAGUCGAGCGGUAAGGCCCUUUCGGGGGUACACGAGCGGCGAACGGGUGAGUAACACGUGGGUGACCUGCCCUUAGCUCUGGGAUAAGCCUGGGAAACUGGGUCUAAUACCGGAUAUGACUCCAUGACGCAUGUUGUGGGGUGGAAAGCCUUGUGCGGCUAGGGAUGGGCCUGCGGCCUAUCAGCUUGUUGGUGGGGUGAUGGCCUACCAAGGCGACGACGGGUAGCCGGCCUGAGAGGGCGGACCGGCCACACUGGGACUGAGACACGGCCCAGACUCCUACGGGAGGCAGCAGUGGGGAAUCUUGCGCAAUGGGCGAAAGCCUGACGCAGCGACGCCGCGUGGGGGA